GAUGGACGCUAGCGGCAGGCUUAAUACAUGCAAGUCGUGGGGCAGCAGGGUUGUAGCAAUACAAUCGCUGGCGACCGGCAAACGGGUGCGUAACACGUACGCAACCUUCCCGUUACUGUGGCAUAGCCCAGGGAAACUUGGAUUAAUACCACAUAUUUUAUUGAGGGGGCAUCCCUUUGAUGUCAAAGCUUCGGCGGUAACGGAUGGGCGUGCGGUUGAUUAGGUAGUUGGCGGGGUAACGGCCCACCAAGCCUACGAUCAAUAGCUGAUGUGAGAGCAUGAUCAGCCACACGGGCACUGAGACACGGGCCCGACUCCUACGGGAGGCAGCAGUAAGGAAUAUUGGGCAAUGGACGAAAGUCUGACCCAGCCAUGCCGCGUGAAGGAUUAAGGUCCUCUGGAUUGUAAGCUUCUUUUCUCUGGGGCGAAAACCAGCUAUUCUUAGCUAUUUGACAGUACCAGAGGAAUAAGCACCGGCUAACUCCGUGCCAGCCGCCGCCGUAAGAC
rnacentral:rRNA from 1 species